AAAAACACCCGGCAUGCCUUGGAUGCUUAGACAGAUUUGCUCACUGAGAAAACCAGUGGACCAUUGGUUUCCUCUCUGCCAGAUGCUGUGUUGAGCACUAUCUGGGAUUCUACAGUACCACUUCAUCAAGGCACCUGAUAAAAAAACAGAAUUUUUCCUAAGAAACCAAAAUCAGUUAAGAGGUAGAUGAAUUGAUAGUAUGAUUGACUGAGUGAUAUAACUGUUGUGAACAAAAACCAUUACAAUGAGGAAUUCAGGCCACUUGGACUAGCCAAGCAUGGGAUUUCGGGGUCACAGCUAUGACACUCGGUAGACUUCUGCUGGCUGACGAGAAAAUGCCUUUCAGGUCAGCAAUGUCCUCUCCUCACAAGGACACCAUCAAAUAAAGGACAUUCUUAAUAAACUGAAAGAACUGGCAGAGAAACCAGUGGCUUUAUAAUUAGUGGCCUUGAGGUCUUUACAGCCUCCCUUAUUUUAAAUGACAGGAAAAGACCUUUCUGUA